AUUAGGGUGCCAGCAAGAGGAACUGCAUAGAGAUGGGUUCCCACCUGGUGGUGAUCAACAUGAGAGAUGAGCAGGCUUUCCUUUCCAGUUGGAAAGUUCCAAAGGGAACUUAUACAGGCACCCAAGCAUAAAGUUACUAUAUUGGUCUGACUCAUCAGGAGGAGAAAGGCCAGUGGUGCUGGGUGGAUCAUACUCCAAUAACCAGACUGCAGUGUUCUGGAAAGAUAAGGAACCCAAGAACCUUGACAAGGAGAAGUGUGUUGUCAUGGAUAUGAGGAAAAACACAUAUUCAGAGGACUACGAAUUGAAAUCAUCUCCCAUUACACAGCAAUUUAUCAACAUUGUAAAACUGCAGCAACAAAUAUUUGAUUAAAAACAUCCUGGGUGUCAGAGUGGAAAGAGAACCCAUCCCUCACUAGGAGCAGCUCACAAAGAUUUGAUAGGAGGGGUCAGAUUAGCCCUGAUCUGCAAUUAUGUGGGAGUGGUGGGGACUGUGGUAGAGGUUCUUGCACUCAGUGGCCUGAACCCAAAGUAAUUUUUAAAAAAUUAAAGCUGCUGAAAAUGUUUAAAGUGGGAAAAUGCCACAUGGCAGCUGAGCUCUGCUUGUGACAUCACAAAAGAUGCCAAUGCUAUCUCCCAACAAGUCUGGUAGAGAGGGUAGCUUUGGGAAGGGGAGGGCCAUGGGAUUUGCCUUGCACUUGAAGGGAAAGAUACUAUUCUCUUAUAACGAAGCGGACAAAUUUAAACCCAGAGGAAGUGUAUCACCUACUAGUGUGCCAUCACUUUCUGCUUACUCCUUACUCUUACUGCAUACAACUCUUCACCAAGAAUUCUGAUUAUUUCAGGGCUGUGUCUACUAGUGUAUAUAUUGGAAAUACAGGUAGGUCCAAACUGGUAUCCUCUAACCCAUUUAGAACUCAGUUCCAUUUUGUAGUGUAGAUGGAGCUCGGGACCUAAUAUAAGUUCUCUUUUGUGUAGAGACAAUGUGGUCAUCUCAGCAUAAUUCUAACUGCUUCCCAGGCCAA